rnacentral:rRNA from 1 species
CGUACACUCCUACGGGAGGCAGCAGUGGGGAAUAUUGGAUAAUGGGCGCAAGCCUGAUCCAGCCAUGCCGCGUGAGUGAUGAAGGCCCUAGGGUUGUAAAGCUCUUUCACCGGUGAAGAUAAUGACGGUAACCGGAGAAGAAGCCCCGGCUAACUUCGUGCCAGCAGCCGCGGUAAUACGAAGGGGGCUAGCGUUGUUCGGAUUUACUGGGCGUAAAGCGCACGUAGGCGGACUAUUAAGUCAGGGGUGAAAUCCCGGGGCUCAACCCCGGAACUGCCUUUGAUACUGGUAGUCUGGAGUUCGAGAGAGGUGAGUGGAAUUCCGAGUGUAGAGGUGAAAUUCGUAGAUAUUCGGAGGAACACCAGUGGCGAAGGCGGCUCACUGGCUCGAUACUGACGCUGAGGUGCGAAAGCGUGGGGAGCAAACAGGAGUAGAUACCCCAGUAGUCCCAUGA